ACCUGGCUGGCUUAGUUGGUAGAGCAUGCAACUCUUAAUCUCAGGAUCAUGAGUUCAAGUCCCAUGUUGGGCA
rnacentral:tRNA from 1 species